rnacentral:rRNA from 1 species
UACGUAGGGGGCUAGCGUUGUCCGGAAUCAUUGGGCGUAAAGCGCGUGUAGGCGGCCCGGUAAGUCCGCUGUGAAAGUCGGGGGCUCAACCCUCGGAUGCCGGUGGAUACUGUCGGGCUCGAGUACGGAAGAGGCGAGUGGAAUUCCUGGUGUAGCGGUGAAAUGCGCAGAUAUCAGGAGGAACACCUAUUGCGAAGGCAGCUCGCUGGGACGUCACUGACGCUGAGACGCGAAAGCGUGGGAAGCAAACAGG